CCUGCUACCCAGAUUUUCAGAAGCUGUUUGGGCUGCUGUCCAGAAGUAUUUCAAGUGCUGAAUUGCUGUCCCGACCCUCAUUGCUGCUGUCUCGGCGUCCCUAGCCGCUGUCCAGUCAUUUUGGGUGACCUCCUAUGGCUGUCUUGCUGUCCAAAAUGUUCCCCAUCGCCAUCUUGAAGGCUCCAUAACCUAAAGUUGCUGUCCACUCUUCCUCAAACGCAUAAGCGACUACGUCGGAGCGCCGUAUUUGUCGUUCCCUUGGAUAACUUCUUUCUUUGGAAUCAGGCAACAUGUGCAUGAAAUUUUGCAGAUAACAACUCUUAAUUUUAAUAACUAUCAAAAAAGGAGGUGGAAGGGAGGCAUAAAUCGCAUCCAUCAUAAAUAAAACAAAUGCAGCUAAGAGCCAAGAACAAAGAUUGUUGGAAGAGGAAGACACCAUGGUUAGAGAAGAAUAAUCUCAUGCAAAAGUAACGAUCAAACAGCUAUACAGCAGCUCCUUCAACAGCUACAGCUUCAAUUUGUCCUUAAGAAAUUAGGACAAAUUUCUCUCUUUCUUGGCAUACAAGUCCUCCGGUCCUCAACAGGCUACUUUCUUACCCAACAGCACUAUGCCUCAAAACUAAUUCAUGAUGCUGGCUUUCAAGACUGCAAGUCCGCUCCGACGCCGGCAUCUCCGCCGCAAAGAACAACCACAUCGAUUGCAAACCGUUUCACGAUCCAACCCUUUACCGCUGUUUAGCAGGAGCUCUUCAGUAUCUUUCUAUCACCAGACCCGAUAUAGCGUUUGCCACUAACAUGGUGUGUCAACAUAUGCAGGACCCUACUACACAAGAUUUUCAAGAUCUCAAGCGCAUCCUACGGUAUGUCAAAGGAACACUCACAUUUGGUCUUCCAAUCCAGCGUGGUCCGCUUGAACUUCACUCCUACACCGAUGCGGACUGGGCAUCAGAUGUUACUGAUCGGAAAUCCAUUUACGGGUCUUGUACCUUCCUCGGACCAACUCUUAUCUCCUGGUCCGUCAAAAAGCAAGUCACAGUUGCUAAAUCUUCCACAGAGGCAGAGUAUCGAUCGCUAUCCGCCACCACUUCCGAAGUCAUUUGGCUUCGCCGUCUUGCUGUCGAGCUACUUCUUCCACAACAGUUCCCAACAAUCAUACACUGUGACAACACUUCGGCCAUGGCUCUUGCAAAGAACCUUGUCUUCCAUGCCCGAACAAAACAUAUUGAAAUAGACUACCACUUCAUCAAGUAGCAUAUCAGCUCCAGCAACAUUCAUCUUACUCACAUUUCUUCAAAAGAUCAGAUCGCGGAUAUCUUGACAAAGUCUUUCUCUACUGCUCGUUUCAAUGAGUUAUGCAGCAAACUAACCAUCCGUUCCUCGAAUGAUUAGUUUGAGGGAAGAUAUUAGAAUAUAAACAUUACUAUGUUAGUUAUUUACUUUAUUACCAUUGUAACACUCUUUAUAUUGAGUAUUAUCUGUACAGUUUAGAUCAUG